GUCUAAGUAUAAGCAACUAUACGGUGAAACUGCGAAUGGCUCAUUAAAUCAGUUAUCGUUUAUUUGAUAGUACCUUACUACAUGGAUAACCGUGGUAAUUCUAGAGCUAAUACAUGCUAAAAACCUCGACUUCGGAAGGGGUGUAUUUAUUAGAUAAAAAACCAAUGCCCUUCGGGGCUCCUUGGUGAAUCAUAAUAACUUAACGAAUCGCAUGGCCUUGCGCCGGCGAUGGUUCAUUCAAAUUUCUGCCCUAUCAACUUUCGAUGGUAGGAUAGUGGCCUACCAUGGUAUCAACGGGUAACGGGGAAUUAGGGUUCGACUCCGGAGAGGGAGCCUGAGAAACGGCUACCACAUCCAAGGAAGGCAGCAGGCGCGCAAAUUACCCAAUCCCGACACGGGGAGGUAGUGACAAUAAAUACUGAUACAGGGCUCUUUUGGGUCUUGUAAUUGGAAUGAGUACAAUUAAAUCCCUUAACGAGGAACAAUUGGAGGGCAAGUCUGGUGCCAGCAGCCGCGGUAAUUCCAGCUCCAAUAGCGUAUAUUAAAGUUGUUGCCAGUUAAAAAGGCCUCGUAGUUGAACCUUGGGCCUGGCUGGCCGGUCCGCCUCACCGCGUGUAACCUGGUCCGGCCGGGCCUUUCCUUCUGGGGAACCUCAUGCCCUUCACUGGGCGUGUUGGGGAACCAGGACUUUUACUUUGAAAAAAUUAGAGUGUUCAAAGCAGGCCUUUGCUCGAAUACAUUAGCAUGGAAUAAUAGAAUAGGACGUGUGGUUCUAUUUUGUUGGUUUCUAGGACCGCCGUAAUGAUUAAUAGGGAUAGUCGGGGGCAUCAGUAUUCAAUCGUCAGAGGUGAAAUUCUUGGAUUGAUUGAAGACUAACUACUGCGAAAGCAUUUGCCAAGGAUGUUUUCAUUAAUCAGUGAACGAAAGUUAGGGGAUCGAAGACGAUCAGAUACCGUCGUAGUCUUAACCAUAAACUAUGCCGACUAGGGAUCGGACGGUGUUAGUAUUUUGACCCGUUCGGCACCUUACGAGAAAUCAAAGUUUUUGGGUUCUGGGGGGAGUAUGGUCGCAAG
rnacentral:rRNA from 1 species